rnacentral:tRNA from 2 species
GCUUCGCUAGCUCAGUUGGCAGAGCGUCAGUCUCAUAACAACAGUUGUGAAAUCUGAAGGUCGACAGUUCGAACCUGCCGCGGAGCA